CCCCCCGGAGCAUAUAAAUCCACCCGAUCGAUGAAGACUUGAACCAGGAUGUCCCUCGAAAGGGUUAGCUACGUCCUAAAAGAAUUCGCUACAAGCGGGCAACUUACUACCUCUCUGUCUCCUCUGCUUAUAUAGUGAAUGGACUUUGUUUCAUCAUAUAAGACACGGGUCGAUGGGCAAGUGAGCUGAUCUCGCCUUUGUUGAUCCGCUUGAAGAGAGUUAUCACGACUCUGCUACAUCGCGAUCGUUUAUUCCCAAGCGAUAGAGAAUACAAAGCACACAAGGCGCAUGAUG
rnacentral:lncRNA from 1 species